ACAGUGCCUACGCACACACCCCUGCACACGCACGCUCACACACCCUGCACACGCAUGCCCCAUACACAGUGCCUACGCACACACCCCUGCACAUGCACGCUCACAUCACACACAAACACAACCAGAGAACAAGGCCAGGCAGCAGCAGGCUCCAGGCAAGGGUUGAACUCUCCCAUUGGAGAGAAGCCACUUGAGGGCCUUCGUAGUGCAAGCUGGCCUCGAAUUCAGCCCACCAUGGUGCCCUCGGGCGGAGCGGCUGGCUCAGGGCUCUCCUCUGGGCUCUAGACAUCAGUGCAGGGAUGGUUCCUGGGCAUCCCUACGAUGCCAGGAGGAGGGGUGUUGAGCUGAUCCGCCAGCUCAGAUUUCAGAUGCCCCAGGUACCAUCCUUGAGUCAUAACCUUCUGCCCCAGGCAUUGUCCCUGCAUCUCUGGCCAUGCUCUGCCUCUCAGCGGUGCCUGGGAGUGGCUCACUGGGGGCGGGGGGCUCUCUCUGAUCAGACAGUCUCAGGGGGCUGCAGCCACGGCACCCGUGGGUGGCGUUGGCAACUUGCUGCCCUCCAUCCCUCCUGCCUUGCCCUGUCGAAAAGGUUAUUCCCAGAGCGGGUGACUCACUCCUUCCCCUCCGGUCUAUUUCCGAGCUCUUCACCUCAGCUGUUCCAAUGGCUGGGACACGGGAAGGUCAAACCCCACCCGAUUCACCCAGGGGAGCGGCCGGGGCGCCAGGAGCUGCAAAUGGCUGUAACGCUGCCCCCACCCUCUGCAGAGAGCCCCCAACUCCACGCUUGGACACAGCCAGGGACGGUGGGGGGAGCAGCCUGGCUAACGAGUCUGAAUUCCCUUGGUGGGAUCCCCUCCCCCACCACACCCUCACCACUCCCCUGUGACCUUUCACCACUGGCAGAUACCAGCAGUUCGCCAGAUCUAGAGGAGGGGGAAAGAAUCAAAUUACAGGAGGAAAUUGACGAGGAAGGAGAUGAGAUGUCGGCCUGUACAGCUUACGCGGGAGGAAGUUGGAGCAGCUGAUCUGUGCAAGUGAAAAACAAACCAGACCAGAGGCACCUUUGCUUUUGCACUAACAACGCCCCAGGCUGACGACAACAAAGGGCUUGUCUCACGUCGAGGGCCCCAGCUGCACCUGUCGCGCUGCGCUGCCGUAGCCACUGCUGUCGGCGCAGUGAAUCCACCUCCCCGAGAGGCAGGAGCUACGUCUGCGGGAGAAGCUCUCCCACCAACCUAGCGCUGUCUGCACGGGGUUAGGUGGGGAAACUGAGGCACAGAGCGGCAACAUGGCGAGUCAGCGGCAGAGCUGCUCAGAGGUGGAUGGACUACGCCGGUGGCUAAUGCUGGUGGAGCUGAACUGAUCUUCACAAU